GGGGAAUAUUGGACAAUGGGCGCAAGCCUGAUCCAGCCAUGCCGCGUGAGUGAUGAAGGCCUUAGGGUUGUAAAGCUCUUUCGCUCGCGAGGAUAAUGACGGUAGCGAGAGAAGAAGCCCCGGCUAACUUCGUGCCAGCAGCCGCGGUAAUACGAAGGGGGCUAGCGUUGUUCGGAAUCACUGGGCGUAAAGCGCUCGUAGGCGGACUUUUAAGUCAGGGGUGAAAGCCUGGAGCUCAACUCCAGAACUGCCUUUGAUACUGGAAGUCUUGAGUCCGGUAGAGGUGAGUGGAACUGCUAGUGUAGAGGUGAAAUUCGUAGAUAUUAGCAAGAACACCAGUGGCGAAGGCGGCUCACUGGACCGGUACUGACGCUGAGGAGCGAAAGCGUGGGGAGCAAACAGGA
rnacentral:rRNA from 1 species